AUUGAACGCUGGCGGCAUGCCUUACACAUGCAAGUCGAACGGCAGCACGGGAGCAAUCCUGGUGGCGAGUGGCGAACGGGUGAGUAAAGUAUCGGAACGUGCCCAGUCGUGGGGGAUAACGUAGCGAAAGUUACGCUAAUACCGCAUACGAUCUAUGGAUGAAAGCGGGGGAUCGCAAGACCUCGCGCGAUUGGAGCGGCCGAUAUCAGAUUAGGUAGUUGGUGGGGUAAAGGCUCACCAAGCCGACGAUCUGUAGCUGGUCUGAGAGGACGACCAGCCACACUGGGACUGAGACACGGCCCAGACUCCUACGGGAGGCAGCAGUGGGGAAUUUUGGACAAUGGGCGAAAGCCUGAUCCAGCCAUGCCGCGUGCAGGAUGAAGGCCUUCGGGUUGUAAACUGCUUUUGUACGGAACGAAAAGGUUUGGCCUAAUAAGCUGAGCUCAUGACGGUACCGUAAGAAUAAGCCCCGGCUAACUUCGUGCCAGCAGCCGCGGUAA
rnacentral:rRNA from 1 species